UAUAAGUGUUAGUUACUGCGUGUACGUAUCUGUAAGCGUCAUCGCAUGACCAAAGUCAUAAAAAUCACUCAACUAAAGUUCUACCUCCUUUUAUGAAAUGGGUACCUAUAUAAGCUAGGAGUAGAACUAAUAAGUCCAUAUCUACUUUCUCAUGCCAACUAAAUGCCAAAGAAAUCACUAUUAUCCGAUCAAGGCAAGCGCAAAUCUCAUUCAACACAAAUCAUAAUCAUUAAUUCAACAAGAAUAUAGGGCUUUCCAUCAAUUUAAGAAUAGACUAUUAUGUGAAACAUUCCCUUUUCAUAAACUCAAUUUGAGUUUCAUCGGUUCACAUUACCUUUAAAAUAACAAGUUACACCUAAAUCUUUGCGAUGUUAAUAUAAUACUUACAUAGCGAAAAUGACAAUUUUUUUUAAAAGUUAUCGAAUCGCGAUACCGAUCGCUACAUUCUCCAAAGCUAGAAAACUACAAUCAAAACAUCACAACAGGUAGCUUUAACAACCAUCAACAAUAAGUUGAAAUCAUAAUCAUGACCUAACUAAAAUUAUGCAUUUAUAACUUCAAUAACCUAACAAAAGUAUUUGUAAUUAACAAUAAUCAAAUAACAACAAUUAACAACUAUUUUAUCAACCAAAAAUCACUUCCAUAGUCAACUAUGAUCAUAAUCAUUACUAAUUAUCACAACAAUAAUCAACCAAUUAAGUCUUAAAAUAACUUGUAAGGUUAUUCAAAUAAUCACCACACCACAAAAUGUAGUAUAAAAGCACACACCAUUAAUAAUUUUAUCUCUACAUCAAACACUAACCAAUCCAUGUUCAAAGACAACACCUUUUAACUACUACCCAUAAUAAGAUUCAAUAAAAAUAAUACAAAAUCAACACAAAACUUAGUAAAAUUCCAAUUAGAAACAAGAAAAAUCAAUCGGAAAGAUGAGAUGACUUCCAAAGGUUAAACAAGAGAAAAGCGGUGAGGAGAUAAGUGGUUAGGGUGGUGGAGGACCAAAAUUGGUGGCGGUGCAACCGUGCAAGGCAGCCGUUGCCGUUGGUGGUGGAAAUGGCAGCAGUUGCUGCUGCUCGUGGAGGGAAACUGUAGCCUGCUACUGCUGGUUGCUGUCGUGGGGGAAGGAAGAGAAAACGACUUCCUGUGGAGGCCGUGGCAGCAGGCUGGCCGGUUGCUGGUGGUGGCACAACUGCUCACUGGCGGCGCAAGGAGAAGGGAGAGAAAGAAGGAGGGAAGAAGUGAGGCUUGAUUUUUUUGAGUGAGGGAAGGAGCCACUCAAAACCCUAACCCAUGCGUUUUGUUUUAUUUAUUUACUUAAUUAUUUAUUUAUUUAUCUAAAUUCAUUUUCUUGCGAGACCCAACUAAAAAACUCACUUUUGUGCGCUAAUACAUUUUAAAUUAAAAUAAUAAUUUGGAUUCGAAUCUUUUUAUUUUAGAAAUGGUAAUUAUAUUUUUAAUAUAAAUAUAUGAAGGAAAUUUAUUUAAACUAAUUCAAAAUAAUUUAAUAUAAUUAUAAAAUCUCCAAAUGUUAUUAAAAUAAUAAAUAAUGACGUCGUAAAAAUAAUGAGUGUUACUGUGAUAGUCCGGGUUUAGCAUGAAAAAGAAUUGAUAAACUACUCAUAUCAACAAGGUGCAUCUUUUUUUUCAUGGGAGUCAAUUUGCUAAGAACUUCACAGUUAAACGUGUUUGGUGGGGAGCAAGCUUAGGAUGGGUGACCUUCUGGGAUGUUUUUCCGGGCGCGCAUGAGUGAGGCCAAAGUGCGCUGGAAAAGACUUGUGUUGGUCUAUGAGGCCAGUCUACGGUCUUCAUGAGUAAUCAUCGGCGGUCCAAGGAGCCGGAGUGUUACGGUUACAGCCCAUGAUUGUGCACUCAUUAGCCCUGCCAUUGAAAUCAAUAAGCAUGCUAAUAUUGGAACACAACCUUCAAGUUCCAAUGCUCCUUUAAAGAAGAGAAAGCGAAUAGGUGUUUGUGCGUUUGUUAUGUUUUUGGUUUUUACAAAGUUAGAUAGAUUACUAAUUAAUACUCCCUCCACUACUCUUUACUAGUUACCCUUUACUAAUUACUCAACUACCACCUUUUUAAUGGGCCCCAAACCACUGUUAAUAUCCGUGCCCAUGCAAAUGAGACAUUUAUAUUGGUGUGGAGGGAGUAAUAUUCUUAUGCGACUAAUAGGGCGCUUGCCAAUCAAUGAUCCGAAUUCAACUGUAGGUGAUUUCAUGGAGCAAAUAUUCAUGGUUUGCCUGGAGGCUCUAUUGAUGCGCGUACACACAAAGGCAUUUAUGCGUUCAAACUCCAUGGACAACUUUAUCACUAUGUGCCAGAUUUGCUACCUGAAGAAGCUGAGAAGCCAAAGUUCUUGCAGCUUUAUUUUUUUAUGGCCAAUUUGAAAAGGAACAUCGCUCUGAUAUCUUUCCAGAACUUAAUCCUACUGUUGUUAGUUUACUUAUGGAGAUCAUAGAUCGUAAUCCGUAUUCACAUUUCUUCCGUUCUUUGUGGCAUAUAGAUGUUCACGAGAAUACGAGGGUUUUCUUAAAUAAGAAUCCAUGUUUAGACCAAAGGUUAUACAAUGCCCCAACAUCUGAUGAGGUUGCUGCAAUUUGGAUUGAUGAUUUACCAUCAAAUGAAACAAGGAGUCCUUAUAUACUUGUUUGGAGUAAAUCACCUAUAUCCUACAGUAUUUAUCAUUAUUAUGGAUGUUACGAUCCUUUGUAGUAUCCGUUGUUAUUUCCUAAUAGGGAUUGUGGAUGGCAUCAAGGGUUAUGAACAGUUUCUUAUGAUCAUAGAACAUGGAGACACCGCAAUCGCAACCCAAUUACUCCAAAAUUAGCAAACACUACUGAAGAAUAACUCUUAGAUGAAGCAAUCGUUGCUGCAGAUGGUUUCAAAGAUCGUCAAGUCAACAAAGACUAUCAUGUAUCGAGUACUAUGCUUAUAGGCUUCAGAUACGUCAGCAUAAUUAUCUUGUAAGGGCUGGCCGCCUUUUUCAGCAAUUUCUGGUUGACAUGUAUGUAAAGAUCGAGAACACGCGUCUAGAUUUUGUGCGCCACAACCAAGCACAACUACGUGCUGAACUUACCAGGGGAUAAUGGGCAGCAUGAACAAUGGUGACUGUUGUGCAUCAAAUAUUGGGUGUCGUAUCAUCCCACCGUUUUCAUUUAUCGGUGGCCCAAGAGGUCGCCGUUUUCAUUUAUCGGUGGCCUAAGAGGUAUGAAGAACCGCUAUUUGAAUGCGAUGGCCCUUGUGCAGAGAUAUGGGAACCUGAUAUUUUCCUCACAAUCACUUGCAACGCAAAUUGGGCCGAGAUCAAACAAGAACUUGCAGAAGGUGAACAUGCCCAGGAUAGGCCGGAUUUGGGUUCUAGGAUCUUUCGUGCAAAAUUAGUGGCUCUAAAAAAGAUUAUACGAGAAAAGAAAUUUUUUGGAGCAGUUGCUGCAAUGAUAUGUGUAAUUGAAUUCCAAAAGCGUGGUCUUCCUCAUGCACACUUUUUAAUUAUUUUGCAACCUCAGUCGAAGAUCAGGCAGCCACAACAGUUCGAUUAGUUUGUUAGUGCGGAGAUACCAACACCGUCUUACCAAUACUUGAGAGGCCUUGUAUUACGGCAUAUGAUGCAUGGUCCAUGUGGCUCGUUUAAUCCGAAGUGCCCAUCUAUGGUAAAGCGUGAUGGUAAGCAUAUGUGUAGAAAUAAGUAUCAAAGCGAAUUUACCACAUUCACAACGCAUUCUGAUGACGGCUAUCCAACAUAUACGCAGCGAGAUACCAGUGGAUAUGUCCGCAUACUUGGUGUGGAAUUCGAUAAUCGUUGGGUUAUUCCAUAUAACCCAUAUCUUCUUGCGUCUUUUGAUUGCCAUAUCAAUGUAGAAAUAUGCUCAACUAUCAAGGCCGUCAAAUACCUUUAUAAGUAUGUCUACAAGGGCAAUGAUAAAAUAUCAGUUAGCAUUGGUCCUAGAGAUGAGCUGCAUGUUAUUGAUAAGGUCGAAAGAUUCCAAUCUGGUAGAUGGGUGUCUCCCCCUGAAGUUGCGCUGAGAAUUUUUUCAUUUGAUUUAUAUGACAUGCAGCCUACAGUUCUACCUCUACAGGUUCAUUUGCCAAAUAAGCAAAGUGUUUGUUUUAACACUUCGGAGAAUCUUGGGCAUUUUAUGAGUAGUGAAUCAAGAGCUAAAACUAUUCUCACAGAGUUCUUUUCAUAAAAUGCAUCACAUCUUUCUGAGCCAAAAUAUUGCUUCUCUGAAUUUGCAGAGCACCAUGUUUGGCAUGCACAAUGUAAAUCUUAGAACAAAAGGAAGCGGAGCAAGGUAAUUGGUAGACUUGCAUUUGUUGCACCUUCAGAGGAUGAACGCUACUAUUUACGCUUAUUGUUAGUACGGGUUGUUGGUCCUCGCUCUUUUGAUGGCUUGCUUACAGUAAACAUCAACGAUGCUCGACAUUUCAUGAAGCCGCAUUGAAGCGAGGGUUUGUUGAGCCAGAUGACUUAAUCGAAUAAUGUUUGAAUGAAGCAAUCGAGGUCCAGAUGCCACAUGCUCUGCGUCGUCUUUUUGCUACAGACCUAAUUUUUCUAGAACCAAUUGCCCCUGUUCAUCUUCUGGAUCGCUAUUACCCUUACCUUUUAGAAGACUAUGCACUACAGCAUCCUAAUGAACCUCACAAGGUUUUAGCGCUGAUUGCUCGGUCUUUUAAAGUCUUCUUGGAGAACAUGGUUAAGACUCUUGCUGACUAUGGUUUAUAACAUCUUUAUAGGGAUACAGAUAUGGCAUUUCAAUGGACGCGAGAUAUAAUUAAUGCUUUAGAUGCUCCAAUUCCAGCAUCUUCUAUGGAAGCGCGAUCAUUAUUGAAUGAUGAACAACAUGCAGCAUACAAGCGCAUUAUUUUCCAUGUUAAACAAGGAAUGGCUGGGUUGUUUUUCAUUGAUGGUCUAGGUGGAAUUGGGAAAACGUUUUUAUAUAAGGCCUUGUAUGCAAAAGUCUGACUACUUGAAAAGAUAGUGCUUCCAACUGCGACUUUCGGUAUUGCAGCUUCUAACAUGCCUAUUGGUCGUGCCGUUCAUUAUAGAUUUAAGAUACAAAAGGAUUGUGGCCAGUACAUGUCAUGCAACGUCGGGAAACAAUCAAGUCUUGCUGCCCUUAUCAAAGAAGCUGCAUUGAUUAUUUGGGAUGAACCUUCCAUGGCUCGUAGAGGAAAAAUCAAGUCGCUUGAUUUACUUUUGAGAGACUUGUGUUUGCCUGAUGUUCCUUUUGAUGGAAGAACGUGGUUUUAUGGGGCGACUUUCAACAAACUGUUCCUGUUGUUUCCAAAAAAACACAAGAAGAAAUCAUUGAAUACAGUUUGGUUUGUUCACCUUUGUGGCUUCUUUUCACCCGCUUACGACUAACUGAGAAUAUUAGGGCUCGUGAAGAUCCUGCAUUCUCAGAUUACUUACUUGCUCCAGGGAAUGGUGACUGCAAACCGAGGAAAGUGAGCACAUUACCAUCUCAUCAAACUUCAGUUUGCAGUGUGGUGCAUCAUCUGCUACAUAGACGAUCUGCUCCAACAAGUUUAUCCUCACAUAUCCGUUGCAAGUGCAACACCGGAGCUGUUUGCUAAAAGAGCUAUACUUACACCUAGGAACGAAGAUGUGGAUACAAUAAAUUCAAGGCUCAUAGAAGCUUUUUGUGGAGUUGUUCAUUGUACAAGUAUGAUUAGAUCAAUUGACAUAUCCAUAAACAAGCAAGAUAUUGAGAAAUUUGCUGAUCAGGGUGCUACUUUUGACUGCAAGUCCACAACCUUCAGAAAGAAAAUCUUUGAUUACGAAAGAUAUUGUCUCUUUCUGGACUUAGCACGAUGAUUGAAGAUCCAUAAAACCCACAAAAGAUGAAGUAUCAGCUGGAGGACACUUUAACAUAGCACGACGAUUGAAGAGCCAUAAAAAGCACAAAACCCACAACUAUAAACUGUCCAGUUAACCUUUAACAUUACACAAGUUAAGUGAACACUUUGACUUCCAUCGACCAUGAAUUGAUUAAAGAUGACCAAUAUGACUACAAGCUUAAGAACACUUGAUGGGGUCUUUUACGAGCUUUCUAUAUAUGUUUCUUCCCAUCAAAAUUACUUGAAAAUCUAUAAGUCAACUUGAGAGAACAUACAGUGGGUAUCAUUAUCAAAACACUGAUUGUUGAACAAUCAUAAUGUGUGCUUGAAUGUUAUGUGAUUAAAUACUAAACAAUUCCAAGAAGUUGAACUGGAAUUUUAUAAAGUGUUGAAUGCUUUAUUUGCACUUUCGGAAUGGUCUACAAUUUGUUACAAAGCCACCGUCAGUUUGUUCGUGUAGUUUUGUUGCUGCUCUCAGGUUUUGUAAUUGCUAUUGUCUCAUGUUCUUUUAAUGUUGCUACUGUCGCAUGUUG